rnacentral:tRNA from 1 species
UUUGCAAAGGGAUGAGAGCAAUAAGCAGAGGUUUUUGAGGCCUCUAAAACUCUAAGGGUUUGCU